rnacentral:rRNA from 1 species
AUUGAACGCUGGCGGCAGGCCUAAUACAUGCAAGUCGAACGAGUGGCGGACGGGUGAGUAAUGUCUGGGAAACUGCCUGAUGGAGGGGGAUAACUACUGGAAACGGUAGCUAAUACCGCAUACCAUCGGAUGUGCCCAGAUGGGAUUAGCGAGUAGGUGGGGUAACGGCUCACCUUGGCGACGAUCCCUAGCUGGUCCGAGAGGAGGACCAGCAACACGGGAACGGAGACACGGUCCAGACUCCUACGGGAGGCAGCAGUGGGGAAUAUUGGACAAGGGGCGCAAUCCGGAUGCAGCAAUGCCGCGUGGAUGAAGAAGGCCUUCGGGUUGUAAAGUACUUUCAGCGGGGAGGCGUUACCCAAAGAGAAAGCACCGGCUAACUCCGUGCCAGCAGCCGCGGUAAUAC